UGUCCAAUGCGGGAAUCGAACCCGGGUCGUAGUGGUCGAAAACCAAUCAGUUUAACCAGCCUUCAACCGACCCCAC
rnacentral:tRNA from 1 species